rnacentral:rRNA from 1 species
UGGGCAACCUGCCCCUCUCUCUGGGAUAACCCCCGGGGAAACCGGAGCUAAUACCGGAUACUCCGGCUGGAUCGCAUGGUCCGGCCGGGAAAGGUCCGCCGGAGAGGGAUGGGCCCGCGGCCUAUCAGCUUGUUGGUGAGGUAACGGCUCGCCAAGGCGACGACGGGUAGCUGGUCUGAGAGGACGACCAGCCACACUGGAACUGAGAUACGGUCCAGACUCCGUACGGGAGCA